ensembl:lncRNA
CACACACACACACACACACACACACACACAACCGGAGCGAAGCGUCGCUUUGAACCAGCACCCACGGAACAAAAACAAAACGAGACUCGGGGCCGUUCAGAGACGAUCUGUAUCAUAGUUCCUGAUCUCACCCCCUUUUUUUCAAUCAUCGACGACUUUGUGCUUUGAACUUGGAAAAAUUCCUUCAAAAAAAACAAAAAACUAAACUAAACAAAACUGAACAAUGACUGAAACGCUCCAGAGAGAGAGAAGCACACACGACCCCCCUCCUUCACACCAGUCACAUCUUUUACCCGCUGAGAGGGAGAUGAUGUGGAGUCGAGUGAAGCAUCGUUUGACAGAGCAAAGCACCGACAGUGUGAGCGUGUGCAGAUUGCUCUGCUUUCCAUGGGAACAUUCUGAGGGGGAAAUAAUAAACCCGACAGUCGACUGGACGAAUAAAACGCACCGCCGAGAAAUAACCCUGUUUGCGAAAAGGACCCCCUCGCCCCCCCACCCACAAUUUAUUCCAUCAACAUGCUCCUUUAAAAUCGCUAAUAUUGACAGUGCCGCUUGCCGGGCAGAUCUCCGUGGCGGUGCUGUGAAAUGUGGCAGGCAGACAUAGUUUCUGACCUCUAUAUAGCAGCGUGGAAGGACCUCAGCCGCUGUAAACAACACUGCAAUCAGUGUCCCAUCUGCUCCCAUGUCCCACUUGUGUGGAUGCCUUUUCGCCAUUUCUUUCACCCUCUGCCAAGUGGCUGCCUCAGGACAUCUAACCCACAGAAAAGAGCUCAUUUACCCGAGGAGGAAAGAAGCAAACUAGAUUUUUUCUGGAGUGUGGUUUGCUGACGGGGGAAACUUGGCCGUGGCCGCUGUCGGCAGAGUUGCACAUGGCUCCAAUAUGCAAAAAUAUGCCAUUGUACGAAAACAACAGUUCCAUCGAUCUGAGCUACAACAUUUAAAACAAAACAAACGGUGAUUGACAAAGAUCAUGCAAAUCACCAGCUAUUGAGGCAGCAGUGACAUGUUGUGUUAACCUCUAUUAACCCCUAUACAGGCUAAUGAUGCUUCACAGGGAUUAUAUGAUGACGGCACUUAAGCGACAUACACUCCAAAAGGUAAGUGGUGUGACUGCUGUUCUAGUGGAGCCAUGUCCCUGAGUGGGUCCCUGUUUUAUCUGUACCUUGCAUGAACACAAGGACACACUCUUUCAGAGCUGCCACAGUUAAUAAAUGAAUCGAUUAUUGAUCGAUGAAAUCGAUUAUUGAUCGAUUACUAAAUUAAUCGGCAACAAUUUUGAUAAGCGAUUAAUCGUUCAAGUCGUUUUUAUGUGUGGAAAGGUCAAAAUUCUCUGAUUUCAGCCUCUUAAAUGUGAAUAUUUUCUGGUGUCUUUGCUCCUCUGUGACAGUAAACUAAAUAUAUUUGGUGUGUGGACAAAACAAAACAUCCUCUCGGGGCUUUGGAAAGUCAAUCGACAUUUUUCACCUUUUUAUGACAUUUUAUGGACCAAACCACUAAUCGAUUAAUCGCGAAAAUAAUCCAGGGAUUAAGCGAUUAUGAAAAUAAUCGUUAGUUGCAGUACUACACUCCAUGCUUUUCAACCGGUCGACAGUUGACGGUGGUAACAGAGAAUUGUAGUGAUUAAUCAGUAGUAAACAUUGCAGAUUACCAUGGUUUCUCUUUUUAUUGGCUUUGUAAAUGUUUUAUGAAGGAGAUCCAUUGAUCACACUUUUUUUGUGGUCUUCAAGAAACAUUUUUGUGUGAUCAUGCAGUAAAUCAGUUUUUUCUUAUUGUACAAUAGACAUUUCACAGGUAACCUUCAGGUUCUUUUGUUAGUUUUUUCCUUUACAAUCAAUGUAAAUUAUCG